rnacentral:rRNA from 1 species
UCUGCUCAAUGAUUUUUUAAAUUGCUGUAGUAUUUUGACUAUACAAAGGUAUUGAAAUAAGAUUUUAAUUGAAUGCUAAGAGAAUGGAAGUCCAGAAAAAAACUUUUUUUAAAUUAAAAAUUGAAGUUUUUUUAAUUUGUGCAGAAACAAUUAUUUAUAUUAAAGACAAGAAGACCCUAUGAAUUUAUUAAAUUUUUAUUUAAUAUGUAAUUACUAUUAGAAAAAUUUUGGCUGGGGCGGCUAGAAAAUAUUAUGAACUUU